rnacentral:lncRNA from 1 species
AAAAUACUAAAGAGACAUUUCAUUGUUCAACUGGGAUCAGGAAGGAAAAAAACAUCAAGUUCUUGCAAUCAGGCAAGAGAAUACCAUGCACAGGGUGACGUACAGAAUAAUGUAGAAAGUGUGUCAAAUAGUAAAGGUAGUAUGAGUCUACCUUAGAGACUAUGUUUAAAAUGCAACCAGCCUAAUCUACACAUACACAGGCGCCACUUGGAGCUACCAAAGUAUGGGAGCAAUAAUAAUCAUUCGCACACUUUCUGAUUACUUGUACCUACAAAGUGCUGGGCUAUCAACUCAUUCAUGGGAAGACGUGCAGAAAGUGCUUGAAGAAGUAGAAUAUUACCAAAUCAAUCCACUUGAGCUUGGAACUUUUCUUCGGUCAGUGUUGGCCAAAAAAUUUGCUUGGCUGUAUUCCCCGCUUGUAUUCCACAAGUUGAACGUUUCUUCAGCUAGCCACUUGAAUUCAACAAGUUGCAGGAUUAUCACACUGAAUUCAACAAGUUGCAGCCACUGCCUCAUAUUCCCUCGGACACAGGGCUUCCAACAAUACUUGGUGUCCAGGAUUUGUAUUAACCCCGAUUCCAACACUGAAACCUUUAUUACUAAAAUAAAGUCAAUACAAAUUCAGCAUGGAAUUUUCCCAAGGAUAGUUGCAUUGCCGCCCCACCACUUGAGCUAAUCUUUUGUUCUGUGUACCAGCUGAAAAGCAAGGAGGGAAACAUUUAAGAGAAUAGCUUAAGACAUAACUGAAGCAGUUACAGAUUACAUCAUCAAACAAACAAGAAAUACUAUCAAACCAACCAGAGGAGCUACCAUCAGAUAAAAAC